UUUUAAGUAUUUUAAUUAAUUAAUUAAGUGGAACCACAACAAAGACUAAAAUUAGUUCCUCCUAAUAGAGAAGAGAGAGAUGCUUUGAGUUCUUAUUUACUGUUUAUGACGCAAAAGCUGAUAUGGAGUUAUUUUUUAUGACAGGUGGACCAUAAACAGAAACUGGGAUGAAUUCGCUACUGGAGAUGGUCUAAAUGGGUAUUUUAUAGGAACCGAAAACUUGUUUAAGCCUAUUAAUUGCUUUUUGCUAGACUCUUCAAUAGGUAAACUGCUAGUCUGGUACAGCCAGGACUAUAUAUUCUUUCCCUUAUUCUUCUUUCCUCCUUCUAUAUGUCUAUCAUCUUUGUUUUCCUUUUUUCUAUUUUCGUUCUUGAUUUCUGUGAGUAAAAGAAAAAUGUCUUUUCUUUUACGAUUGUUGUGGUAUUAGCGGCAGCAUAAAAACUAAAAAAGCAUGGUGUUAGAGAUGCGCAGGGCUCUGUUUCCCUAAUAUAAGAUAUUUUAAAAAUGAAGCCUGGCGAUACACAAAAAACUUUCAACAUUGGUUUUGAGAUGUUCCCCUUUCGGUUUAACAUCAGUUAAGAACCCAUAAAUGCAGUCAUGUUUUUAACAUUGUUGGGACUUGAGAUUGGUAGUUUUAGUUUUUAUGGAAGCAAAAGUUCCAUUCAGGAAGUAAGCCUUUUAAGUAUUUUAAGGCUAAGUUCUGUUUCAAUAAUUUAACUUUCCAUUAGUUUCGCCUUUUUCGUGUGUGCAUGUGCACGUAUGCGCGUGUGAUGGCUUUGGUUUUCUUCCCUUCAUGAAAGAGAGAAUUUUGUGACUUUUUCAAAAUUUUCUUUUAAAUCCUUUUGGGUCAUAGAGAAUAGGGGAUCAAGUUCUUUAUCUUUUAACAAGUAUCUUUUAGUUUUUCAAAUUUGAACUACUAGUACCCUUUCCAUAUUUUUCUUCAUUUUGAUAAUUCAAGGUUAGGAAAGGAAGUCUAACUCCCUGGGACCUAGAGUUGUUAACGAUACAUCCCCUUCCCAAAAAACCUUCUAGGAUUUCAACCUCCGACCUUGAGGAUAAAGGUGGCCCAUGAAUUAAUCCAAUUCCCACUAAGAUAACCCAUAUUGGAUCUGAUUCCGUAUAGGUUAGUGCCUAGUAUGGGGUUGAAAAUAAGCUUAAAAUUUUCAAUAAUCUGCUGAUUGUUUUCCCUCUUUCGAAUGAUAAAUUGAUAUGAACCACACUAAAAAAACACUUUGGGAUUAUUUGACAACAGAUUUCAGAGGCAAUUUCCAAUUUUUAAAAGAGAAUGACCUGGUUAAGGAAUUAUCUUCUGGCAGU